CAAACUGGAGAUGGCGACCGGCGCACGGGUGAGUAACACGUAUCCAACCUGCCGAUAACUCGGGGAUAGCCUUUCGAAAGAAAGAUUAAUACCCGAUGGCAUAAUUGAACCGCAUGGUUUGAUUAUUAAAGAAUUUCGGUUAUCGAUGGGGAUGCGUUCCAUUAGGCAGUUGGUGGGGUAACGGCCCACCAAACCUUCGAUGGAUAGGGGUUCUGAGAGGAAGGUCCCCCACAUUGGAACUGAGACACGGUCCAAACUCCUACGGGAGGCAGCAUG
rnacentral:rRNA from 1 species